CGAACGCUGGCGGCGUGCUUAACACAUGCAAGUCGAACGCGAAAGGGACUUCGGUCCUGAGUAAAGUGGCGCACGGGUGAGUAACGCGUAGAUAACCUGUCUUCAUGUCUGGAAUAAUACGCCGAAAGGGGUACUAAUACCGGAUAUUCUUGCUCUUCAUAAGUUAUGCAAGCAAAGGUGGCCUCUGCAUAUGCUACUGCAUGAAGAGGGGUCUGCGUACCAUUAGCUAGUAGGUGGGGUAAUGGCCUACCUAGGCGACGAUGGUUAGCGGGUCUGAGAGGAUGAUCCGCCACACUGGCACUGGAACACGGGCCAGACUCCUACGGGAGGCAGCAGUGAGGAAUAUUGCGCAAUGGGGGAAACCCUGACGCAGCGACGCCGCGUGAGUGAGGAAGGCCUUCGGGUCGUAAAGCUCUGUCAAGAGGAAAGAAGUGUACAAUGGCUAAUACCUGUUGUAUUUGACGGUACCUCUAAAGGAAGCACCGGCUAACUCCGUGCCAGCCGCCGC
rnacentral:rRNA from 1 species